rnacentral:tRNA from 1 species
UGUCCAGAGGCGGGAAUCGAACCCACAACCUUCUGCUUACCGGGCAGGUGCCAUGUCCACUAGGUUAUCCUGGAC